CUCCAGGUCCCAUGGUGGCGCCCCGGCGA
rnacentral:sRNA from 1 species